CCUACGGGUGGCUGCAGUGGGGAAUAUUGGACAAUGGGCGAAAGCCUGAUCCAGCCAUGCCGCGUGUGUGAAGAGGGCCUUCGGGUUGUAAAGCACUUUCAGUGGGGAAGAAAGCCUUGGGGCUAAUACCCUCGAGGAAGGACAUCACCCACAGAAGAAGCACCGGCUAACUCCGUGCCAGCAGCCGCGGUAAUACGGAGGGUGCGAGCGUUAAUCGGAAUUACUGGGCGUAAAGCGCGCGUAGGCGGUCUGAUAAGCCGGUUGUGAAAGCCCCGGGCUCAACCUGGGAACGGCAUCCGGAACUGUCAGGCUAGAGUGCAGGAGAGGAAGGUAGAAUUCCCGGUGUAGCGGUGAAAUGCGUAGAGAUCGGGAGGAAUACCAGUGGCGAAGGCGGCCUUCUGGACUGACACUGACGCUGAGGUGCGAAAGCGUGGGUAGCAAACAGGAUUAGAUACCCUAGUAGUC
rnacentral:rRNA from 1 species